UAAAAUGUGAGGAGGACAGACAGAGCUUUGGAAGAAAAAGAGGGUAGAAUGUUGACCGGCUUUGGGAUGGGGAAGAAUCCCUGAAGAGUGGAAAGAAGCUGCCCUCCCUCACAAACACAGGUACCCUACCAGGCACAGC
rnacentral:lncRNA from 1 species